rnacentral:lncRNA from 1 species
UGAAUAUAGUGAGGGUUUUUAUUAUUAGCUUCUAAGAUAGCAUACAAAUUACUGGGUUUCAUUAUGAUGCUUUCUUGUAUAAUUUGUUAUUCACUCCCUCUUUGCUGCCCUACCCUAUCCCCUUGCCUCCCUCUCGAUAGUCUCCUCUCCCAGGAGACUUUUCUUCUUAACAUUUGGUCCCAUUACCUUACUUUUUUCUGGUUUUGCCUCCCCCCUUAAGAUUUUUUCCCCUGUGAGCCCUUUCUAGUUUCAUGACCUGCACCCACACAGAUGGGAUAGCUUAAUGCCAUAUUGUAUCUUAGCUACCCCAUCUGUAAUACUUGGCAGUGUUUUCAUUUUAUUUUGCUUUCUUUUCCUUAUUUCCCUUAAAUGAUUAAUAACUAAAUAGCAUAGCAUAUCCACAUUAGAAUUGUUAGUAUUGAUGAUUAUCAAUCUGGGAAAAUUCAGUUUUUGAAGUAAAAUUUUACCAAAAACAUUAUGCAUAUAAAUAAAAUAAACCCAUGAUUUGAUUCAGAAUAUUGUGUUAGUCCAUAUUGUGCAUUUAGACUUGUUAUAGUAGGGUUUCAUAAAUAUUGCCUAGAGAGUUUCUGUAAAAUAAUAUAAAUGACCAGGUGAGUUUGGAUGAAAAUUCUAUUGGCCUAUAUAUUAAAGUAAAAGCCAUAAUUUCUUUCUG